rnacentral:rRNA from 1 species
GACGUAGGGCGUGAGCGUUGUCCGGAUUUAUUGGGCGUAAAGAGCUCGUAGGCGGCUCGUUGCGUCGGCUGUGAAAACCCGCAGCUCAACUGUGGGCUUGCAGCUGAUACGGGCGGGCUGGAGUUCGGUAGGGGAGACUGGAAUUCCUGGUGUAGCGGUGAAAUGCGCAGAUAUCAGGAGGAACACCGGUGGCGAAGGCGGGUCUCUGGGCCGAUACUGACGCUGAGGAGCGAAAGCGUGGGGAGCGAACAGG